rnacentral:rRNA from 1 species
UCAAGUUAUUAAGGGUGCAGGGCGGAUGCCUUGGCACUAGGAGCCGAUGAAGGACGUGAUAAGCUGCGAUAAGCUUCGGGGAGUUGCACGUAAACUUUGAUCCGAAGAUUUCCGAAUGAGGAAACUCACUUAGAGUAAUGUCUAAGUAUCAUUAAGUGAAUACAUAGCUUAAUGAGGGGAACUCAGGGAACUGAAACAUCUAAGUACCUGAAGGAAGAGAAAGAAAUUCGAUUCCGUAAGUAGCGGCGAGCGAACGCGGAUUAGCCCAAACCAAUAAAGUUUUCUUUAUUGGGGUUGCGGACAUAUCAUAACGAAGAGGUAUCGUAAUUGAAGAGGUUUGGAAAGACCCACCACAGAAGGUAAUAGUCCUGUAUGUUAAACGAGAAGACUUUAGAUAUGAUCCAGAGUACCACGGGACACGUGAAACCCUGUGGGAAGCAGGAGGGACCACCCUCCAAGGCUAAAUACUACCUAGUGACCGAUAGCGUAUAGUACCGUGAGGGAAAGGUGAAAAGAACCCCGGGAGGGGAGUGAAAUAGAACCUGAAACCCUGCACUUACAAGCUGUGGAAGCACAUUUCUUGUGUGACCGCGUACUUUUUGUAGAACGGGCCAACGAGUUACGUUAAGUAGCAAGGUUAAGCACUUAAGGUGUGGAGCCGUAGCGAAAGCGAGUUUUAACUGAGCGUUCAGUUACUUGACGUAGACCCGAAACCGGGCGACCUACCCAUGAGCAGGAUGAAGCGAAAGUAAAAUUUCGUGGAGGUCCGAACCCACGAGCGUUGAAAAGCUCGGGGAUGACUUGUGGGUAGCGGUGAAAUUCCAAUCGAGCCCGGAGAUAGCUGGUUCUCCCCGAAAUAGCUUUAGGGCUAGCCUCAAGGUGAGAGAUACGGAGGUAGAGCACUGAAUGUCCUAGGGGGUAUUGCACCUACCGAAGACUAUCAAACUCCGAAUGCCGUCAUCUUAUACUUGGGAGUCAGACUGUGGGUGAUAAGAUUCAUAGUCGAAAGGGCAACAGCCCAGAUCGUCAGCUAAGGUCCCUAAAUGUAAGUUAAGUGGUAAAGGAUGUGGGAUUGCACAGACAACCAGGAUGUUGGCUUAGAAGCAGCCACUCAUUCAAAGAGUGCGUAAUAGCUCACUGGUCGAGUGAUCCUGCGCCGAAGAUUUCCGGGGCUAAAACUUACUACCGAAGCUACGGCAUCAGUAAUGAUGGGUAGGGGAGCUUCCCAUACGGGUUGAAGCAUGACCGUAAGGACAUGUGGACAGUAUGGGAGUGAGAAUGUUGGCAUGAGUAGCGAGAUGUGGGUGAGAAUCCCACAGGCCGUAAACCCAAGGUUUCCAGGGGAAGGUUCGUCCGCCCUGGGUUAGUCGGGACCUAAGCUGAGGCCGAAAGGCGUAGGUGAUGGACAACAGGUUGAUAUUCCUGUACUACCGAUAACCGUUUGAGAGAAGGGAUGACACAGUAGGAUAAGCUAAGCACACUGUUGGUUAUGUGUGCCCAAGCAUUGAGGCAGUCAAAGUAGGCAAAUCCGCUUUGAUAAUGCUGGGAUGUGAUGGGGAGCGAAAUUUAGUAGCGAAGUAGCUGAUUUCACACUGUCAAGAAAAGUCUCUAUCGAGGUUAAAGGUACCCGUACCGCAAACCGACACAGGUGGGUGAGGAGAGUAUCCUAAGGCCAGCGAGAGAACUGUUGUUAAGGAACUCGGCAAAAUGACCCCGUAACUUAGGGAUAAGGGGUGCCACCAUCAGGUGGCCGCAGAGAAUAGGCCCAAGCGACUGUUUACCAAAAACAUAGGUUUCUGCUAAGUCGCAAGACGAUGUAUAGGAGCUGACGCCUGCCCGGUGCUGGAAGGUUAAGGGGAUCUGUUAGAGCAAUCGAAGCAGUGAACUUAAGCCCCAGUAAACGGCGGCCGUAACUAUAACGGUCCUAAGGUAGCGAAAUUCCUUGUCGGGUAAGUUCCGACCCGCACGAAAGGCGUAACGAUUUGGGCACUGUCUCAACAACAGACUCGGUGAAAUUGUAAUUCCGGUGAAGAUGCCGGAUACCUGCGACAGGACGGAAAGACCCCAUGGAGCUUUACUGUAGCUUGACAUUGGGUCUUGGUACUACAUGUACAGGAUAGGUGGGAGGCUUUGAAACCAGGACGCCAGUUUUGGCGGAGCCAUCCUUGGGAUACCACCCUUGUAGUACUGGGACUCUAACCAUAGGCCAUGAAUCUGGUCUUGGGACACUGUCAGGUGGGCAGUUUGACUGGGGCGGUCGCCUCCCAAAAGGUAACGGAGGCGCUCAAAGGUUCUCUCAGUACGGUCGGAAAUCGUACGUAGAGUGUAAAGGCAAAAGAGAGCUUGAUUGCAAGACAUACAGGUCGAGCAAGGAUGAAAAUCGGACUUAGUGAUCCGGUGGUUCUGCGUGGAAGGGCCAUCGCUCAACGGAUAAAAGCUACCCUGGGGAUAACAGGCUUAUCUCCCCCAAGAGUCCACAUCGACGGGGAGGUUUGGCACCUCGAUGUCGGCUCAUCACAUCCUGGGGCUGUAGUAGGUCCCAAGGGUUGGGCUGUUCGCCCAUUAAAGUGGUACGCGAGCUGGGUUCAGAACGUCGUGAGACAGUUCGGUCCCUAUCCGUCGCAGGCGUAGGAAAUUUGAGAAGACCUGUCC